rnacentral:lncRNA from 1 species
GGGUUAGCCACUUUUCACUUUCCCAAAAAUGAAUUACACCUAGUGGAGAACAAGGGAGAGCAUUUAAAGGAGGAAGCAAUUGGUUAGGCCAUUAAUAGCUCAUUCAAAAAGGUUAUCAUCUCUCCUUUCUAUGUGUGAGGAUUUUAUAAUCAAGUGAUCUCAAGGUCACUAAUAUUCUUAUUUACAUGAUUUUAAUUUUCAAAGGAAAAUUAAUUUUCUAUUAUGAUGAUUAAAAUUCAUUAACCAGCAGGUGGAGGUGUGGAAAAAGUUGGUUUGACUGGCGGAGGCUGUGAAUUGAUAAAGAGUGAUGGAAAUUAUGAAAAUGGGGAAUGACAUGUUUCUAUCUCAGGAAUCCCACUUUUCCAUGUUUGAACUCUUUUUAACUUAUUAUUAUUGCUUAAACUCCACUCUAUUUUCCAUGUGCGUCGAGUUUGUAUGUGGUAAUAAGAAUGUGUUAGAUCGACUUUUUCUCUGUAAAUAAAUGGUACACACUUUAUUAAUGGGUCAUUACUAGUAAAAAGCAGAAAAUAAAAUACUGAAUUGCUCCUUGUCCUGGCCUCUUUCUGCCUCUCUUUAGUACCAUCUCUAUCACAUUCUUUACUCAAAUGUUCUAAAAAUUGGAAUAUCCAGACUCAUUUAUGUUUGUUAAUCCAGACUUAUUUAUGUAUGUUAUAGAUUUUUUGCCAAAAUUUUUUGGAUAAAAUCA